rnacentral:rRNA from 1 species
AUGGAGGGAUUUUCCUUCCAGCCCCCCGCCGUCCGCUACCCCGCCUCGGUUAUCAUUGACAAGGAGGCCCACUUCGACGACGACAAGGGAAAGAAUGCCACUACCGCUGAAGCCAUGACGAGCACCGGCCACACCGUCGGGGUCACCUUCCACCUCGCCAAUCCUCCGGCCGUCUCCCACUUCUGCGUCCAUGGCCCUAGACUCAAGCGCGAGGAUUUCGAAGGUGUGCCCGAGGUCGUCUCCGCUCAGAAAGACCUCGUCCUCCUCCGCCUGGCCCUCACCUUCGGCCCCAGAAUUCGAAGCGGCACCGCUGGAUCGCCUGAUCGUGUGCUCCAUGAGUACUUCGUCUACGAGGCCCGCCGCGGCAAGGCUGAAGAUGGGGAAUCCCUCAUCGCCGCUUUCCUCCGGACAUGUAGCGCCUUCGAAGAGGACCGCCGCGUCUUCUCGUCCAAGACGGGGAAGUGGAGCAGCUGUGAACGUUUGGAACUCAAGCGACCUCCGGAGAUCAACUAUCACGACAUGCCCAGGCCAACCGACAAAGUGAUCGUGCUCGGAGGAGGCGAGGUGGGUUUGGUCGAUCUCCGGCGGGGCAUCAAAAUCUGCAACGUGCUGGACGCGGACCCAGUCUUCCAUUUCAUACCGCUACCCAAGGCUGAAUUCCUCCAUGACAAUGACAAUUGGGACGAGUCGCAGCUGAUCCGGGAUGUCGUCGUCUGCGAUGGCUUCAUCCAGCUUGUCGAGAUAGAACGCCGUUUCAGGCAGGUGCUUGGCGUGAACAAUAAAAAGAAGAGCUGCAAGAAGAUGACCAGCGAUUUUGACAAGAACACAGAUAUUAUCUAUGACUCGGAGAUCCUCUACCGCAAUUACGCCCGUCCGGAACUCAUUCCUGUCCCUGAUGGCUGGAAGAUCCGGACAUGUUACAGGCACAAAUAUUGGGACUAUUGGCUUAAGGGGCACGUUGUCGAUGUUGAUGGCUCGUUUGAUUAUGUACCCGAGCUGUUGGAUGGUGGUGCCGGAUGA